AUAUGUUUAGAAUUUCCUGACCAGUGUUUUAUGACAGUAUAUCAUUUAAUCUUGCAUGUUAACCACAGGGACACGCUGCCGAUCGUAUACCUCCUUUCUGCAUUACACCACGCACGGGCCAGAGCAACCCUGUACAAUGACUCCCUUUUACAGCAUCUGCAGGCUGCGCUCAGAGCAUUAACAUUGAAGCGCCAUCAAAGGUUCAGAGGGAUCUCUGAGGAGACGGGAGCUUUACGGUCCCUCUCCAGCUGCCGCCUCCUGCUUAGCUCCCUCACACCUCCGCCGCGUGUCAAACAGGCUCCAGAGCCAACCCCGCAGCUGACAAAGUUCCCAAAGUUACAGAUCAUGUUGCAGUAUUGCACUGUUUGAACAGAAGAGGCAAUCCUACUUAGACCCCUCAGGGCCAUUGAAGAUGCUAAGUUUUCUUUUCUCAGGACAGAUGGUGGCCUUCCAGGGUUGUCUCAAGGUUACACAGACAUAUUCUCAGUGAUAGUGGAAGUGGCACCGGACCAAGAGAUAUCCUCGACAUACUUCUGUUCUUCUCCCAAGGUUUUUCUUAGUGAAUAACAGCAAGCUUCCAGCAGAUAAGAGAAUGAGAGUCUCUGAGUAUGGAACACGUGUCCUCCGGCAUUAUCUUGCAGCCAGAUAGAGAGACGGGGGGAAUAUGGCUGUUGGUUGGAUGUUAUUUUUUCUACAAGGGAGUCAGGGAGUCAGAUAUCCUUACACAGAAAUGAUGUAUUUUUCAAUGGGAAGAAAAGCUGGGCAGUGUUAAAAAAGUCAAUAAUGCUGUGCAGAGUCACGCUACAGAUAUUAAUCGCAGGUCUUUUCUUUGAAUUAAAAUUUUUGGAUAAUUGCAUUUUUGAAAUCAAGCUGAUUUCAUCCUAUUUGCAGUUUUCAAAUGUUUGUUAAACUGU